rnacentral:tRNA from 1 species
AGGAUAGUAGUUAAAAAUAACAUUUGGGUUGCAUUCAAAAAGUAUUGAUCUUUAUCAAUCUAUCUUA